UGAUCAAAUAAAGUGUUAGCUCACUUUUCUUACUUCCUCAUUCACAUGAAGUGGUUGGUUGUCAGUGAUUAUAUAAAGACCUGUUGUUUUCACACUCUUCAGUGGAUCAGCCAUGGACAAAGGUUUGCUGCUGGUUCUGUUGUGUCUGCAGGUCGUCCUGCUCACCACAGUCUUCACUUCUGCUGAUGCAGCCGCUCUGCUGAGAGAUGAUCAGCAUCAACAACCUGUUGAUCCAAUCAGAAGUCUGCAGCAAGUGAAAAAAGGAGGACAGACGGAGCAGAAACUUCCAUACUGGAUAUUCUGUGGGAGGAGACGAGGAGGAUGCACUUUGACAGGACGUGUGCAACCUCCUGAACCAUCUUUUGACCACAUCAAGUCACACUCAAUAGACAUCUUGAGUCAAGCUCUGCAGGAAGUGCCAUUAGAUGCAAAAGACAGAAAAUGAAUGAAGAUAAUUGUAAUGCUUACAAAUCAAUGCAAGUGCUUUUUAUCAGAAAUAAAAGAUUUCAAAUCAGAUAUUGUGUUUUUCUAUCUUUCUUUUUUUUAACACCUCACAGUUGUGGAUGGUGACCAAAACAAACAGGACUCGCUGUCUUCUGACUGAAUCCUGCAAAAUCUUUCAUAUUACAAAGAGUGACAUUGUGCAAAAUAGGUUGAUUUUGUACCUCAGUUCAAUAUUCUCUAUAACCGAGGGUGAUAUGAAG
ensembl:lncRNA